rnacentral:rRNA from 1 species
GACGAACGCUGGCGGCGUGCUUAACACAUGCAAGUCGAACGGUGAAGCGCCUUCCUUUUUGGUGGGUGUGGAUGAGUGGCGAGCGGGUGAGUAACACGUGAGUAACCUGCCCCCUUCUUCUGGAUAACCGCAUGAAAGUGUGGCUAAUACGGGAUAUUCUGGGUCUGUCGCAUGAUGGGUCUGGGAAAGAUAUUGUUUCGGUGGGGGAUGGGCUCGCGGCCUAUCAGCUUGUUGGUGGGGUGAUGGCCUACCAAGGCGGUGACGGGUAGCCGGCCUGAGAGGGUGGACGGUCACACUGGGACUGAGACACGGCCCAGACUCCUACGGGAGGCGGCAGUGGGGAAUAUUGCACAAUGGGCGAAAGCCUGAUGCAGCGCGGCGGCGUGAGGGAUGGAGGCCUUCGGGUUGUGAACCUCUUUCGCCAGUGAAGCAGGCCUGCCUCGUUUGUGGGUGGGUUGACGGUAGCUGGAUAAGAAGCGCCGGCUAACUACGUG